rnacentral:ribozyme from 1 species
AGUCGUCUUGACUCAAGUCUGCGAAGUGUAGGCGUCA